AAAACAAAAAGUACAGACAGUAGAGAUUUCACAACAUGAAGGUCGUUAGGGUGGCUUUGCUUUUGACUUGUAUAUUUUUUUUGCACUCUGGAGUAAAAGCUGAGCAGCCAAAAAUUAAUCUCGUAAAAAUAUCAAAAUGUCUGGACGUUCUUACCAAACUGGCGUCUGAAUUGACCAAAAAUAUUGUGCCAGUGUUUGGAAAAAUGAUUAAAUGUGUUCAGUUUAGGCCAGAAAUCAAUGUUCGAAGAGUCAAUAUAGCCCAAGUGAUGAUAAUUAUAUACCAGUUUGUGAAGAUGGCAAUGAGUGGCGACAAGAUGUCCUGCAUCAUAGACACUUAUUUAUCCUUUUCCGCCAUUACAGCUACUUAUUCAAUGGAGCUAGACUCCUUAAAGUGUGCUUAUAUGUUUGUAAAGGAACCUUCAUGCUAAAAUCAACGUAUUUUGAAGUUAAAAAAUAAAAAAAAAGAUCCAUAUAUUCUUAAUUUCCAUGCCUUUCUUAUUUAAUUUUAGAGAAACCAGAAAGUCAGAGCAAAGUUUCUUCAACAUGCGGAACGUUAGGUUGGCUUUUUUCUUCACGUUUAUUCUCCUAGGAAAUAGCUUUGUGAAGGGCGAGAGCAUAAAGCUGAACCUUGUGAAAAUUUCAAAAUGCACACAGGUUACUUUGGAACUCAUUGGGGAACUGACCACCAAAGUUAUUCCUGCAUUCAGCAAACUUGUAUCCUGUGUUGGCUACAUCCCGGAACUAGACAUUCGCAGAGUUGGUUCUUUCCAAAUGAUGAUUAUCGUAUACCAAUUUUUCCAGGAAGCAACCAAGGGGGAUUGCCUUAUAAAUGUAUAUACAUAUCUCUCUGCCGUAAUGGAUCCCUAUCUGAAGAGAAGAGGCGAACUUAAGUGUUCCUAUUUGAUUGCCAAGGAGCCAUUGUGCGAACUUUAAAGUAGUUCCAUUUAUAUAAAACCUAAUCAAAUAUAAAAAAAAUAAAUCGUUUAUAAAAGACCAAUACUUGUUUAAA